rnacentral:rRNA from 1 species
CUACGGGGUGCACCAGUGAGGAAUUUUGCGCAAUGGGGGAAACCCUGACGCAGCAACGCCGCGUGAGCGAAGAAGGCCCUCGGGUCGUAAAGCUCUGUCAAGUGGGAAAAAAAUUUUUUGAUCAAUAGUCAAAAGACUUGAUGGUACCACUGGAGGAAGCACCGGCUAACUCCGUGCCAGCAGCCGCGGUAAUACGGAGGGUGCGAGCGUUGUUCGGAUUUACUGGGCGUAAAGAGCGUGUAGGCGGUUUAGCAAGUCAGAUGUGAAAGCCCUGGGCUCAACCCGGGAAGUGCAUUUGAAACUGCUUCACUAGAGUAUGGGAGAGGAGAUUGGAAUUCCUGGUGUAGCGGUGAAAUUCGUAGAUAUCAGGAGGAACACCCGUGGCGAAGGCGAUUCUCUGGACCAAUACUGACGCUGAGACGCGAAAGCGUGGGGAGCAAACAGGAUUAGAUACCCCUGUAGUC